CGCACGGGUGAGUAACACGUAUGCAACCUGCCUGCCACAGCCGGAUAAUCGGGAGAAAUUCCGUCUAAUACGGCAUAAUGCAUCGACGGGACAUCCUGUUGGUGCCAAAGGUUGAUUCCGGUGGCGGAUGGGCAUGCGUCGCAUUAGUUAGUUGGCGGUGUAACGGACCACCAAGACGACGAUGCGUAGGGGUUCUGAGAGGAAGGUCCCCCACACUGGUACUGAGACACGGACCAGACUCCUACGGGAGGCAGCAG
rnacentral:rRNA from 1 species